AGUGAAUUCGACUGAAACUGAUAACAUCCAACGAGCAUCUGAUAAUACAUAAAAAACAAUCCUGUAUCAAUGACAUCAAUUGGUAUAUAAUUUCGACGAAAACGUUGAAAUUAAUAAGUUGGAAAGGCAGUUAUGGAGCGGUAUGAUCGUGUUGCAGAUGUACUUUACGCAACUCGAGGCGACUUUCUCGACGAUGAAAUCCACAGUUUUUCUUACGGAGCUCGGUUGGCCGUGCCAAAAUGCUUCCUCGAUUUGCAUCUAUUUCCAAAAAAAAAAAAAAAUAUAAAUUGUCAAAUUAAUUUGUCACGAAAUGAAAUUUAAUGAGAUUUCCGAACACUUA